AAACUACAGUCACGAGCGGAAGAGUGGAGGAGCUCUGGGGGGGGGCCGCCUAACUUCUAGUGCCGGGGGUCAGGCACGGUGUUAGAUUGCCGCUUAGCCAACAGUGCUGUACGUUACUGGCAAAUUGGCCAGUUCUGUGGCAGUUGAAAAUUGAUACUGAACACUGCUGUGCGCUUCCACUACUUAAUACUGUAAUUCACGGUGGGACUGAAAGUGCUGCUGUCCCAAAAGAAGGGUGUUUCUGGCUUGGCCUUAAGUCAUCACCUUGCCUUUGCCUGGUACUCGCUGGACUGUUGGUAGAGCCUGUUGUUGCUGCCACUGCCCCUGCGUGAGUACCUUGGGACUCAUCACUUGAAGAGGUUGCUACCCUUACCUGCGCUUUGGUUGCUCUUGCCUUCCAGCUUGUCCUCCCUCACAGAGCACCUGCCUUCUUGCUGCUCUCAGGGCAGGUAGACUCGCAUGCCUGUUACUGAAUGAUCCUCUUGAUACACUUCAGAGAAGUGGAGAUCUGCGUUCUGCUCUCUUUUCCUAAACUCAACAGAGGAGCUAGAAAACUGCCUUCUUGCCUCCAAGGCCGAUAAGCUAGCCGUUACUUUAAUGGGCAACGAGGCCUGGAGGUAUGGCCGCAGCUCCUGCCUGCGCUUGUGCAGCGGGGCCACCAGGUGGCGAAGCUGCUGCUCCUGGCACGCCG
rnacentral:lncRNA from 1 species